CACUAGGUAUAUCCUGAACACCUCUGUGAUAUGACUCACUAGGUAUAUCCUGAACACCUCUGUGAUAUGACUCACUAGGUAUAUCCUGAACACCUCUGUGUGAUAUGACUCACUAGGUAUAUCCUGAACACCUCUGUGUGAUAUGACUCACUAGGUAUAUCCUGAACACCUCUGUGUGAUAUGACUCACUAGGUAUAUCCUGAACACCUCUGUGUGAUAUGACUCACUAGGUAUAUCCUGAACACCUCUGUGUGAUAUGACUCACUAGGUAUAUCCUGAACACCUCUGUGUGAUAUGACUCACUAGGUAUAUCCUGAACACCUCUGUGUGAUAUGACUCACUAGGUAUAUCCUGAACACCUCUGUGUGAUAUGACUCACUAGGUAUAUCCUGAACACCUCUGUGUGAUAUGACUCACUAGGUAUAUCCUGAACACCUCUGUGUGUCAUGACUCACUAGGUAUAUCCUGAACACCUCUGUGUGAUAUGACUCACUAGGUAUAUCCUGAACACCUCUGUGAUAUGACUCACUAGGUAUAUCCUGAACACCUGUGUGUGAUAUGACUCACUAGGUAUAUCCUGAACACCUCUGUGUGAUAUGACUCACUAGGUAUAUCCUGAACACCUCUGUGUGAUAUGACUCACUAGGUAUAUCCUGAACACCUCUGUGUGAUAUGACUCACUAGGUAUAUCCUGAACACCUCUGUGUGAUAUGACUCACUAGGUAUAUCCUGAACACCUCUGUGUGUCAUGACUCACUAGGUAUAUCCUGAACACCUCUGUGUGUGCAGAGUGUAGCAUCAGCAGUCUUUAACUCCAGAGAGACAG